UGGUGAGUCUCGACUUCUGUCUCACAAACCUCUGCUUGUGUCGCUCUCUCCUCCACUGCUUCAACUCACAACCCCAAUCUCCACCACCACAAAACAUCAAAUCUCCUUUUUUCGGUUUCUGAGUUGUAGGCAAUUUAGGGUUAGGGUUUUUUGAAAGGGGCUUUCUACUUCAGUAUUUUCUGCUGUUUCUGAGGUCUAACGGAGGAGGUUUUAUCGGGCAAGGAGAUAAAGCAAUUAAAUUUUAAAAAUCUGGAUUUACAGUUCGUAUUUUGAGCCUGAAUUCAUGAAAACAAACUUAACCCAUUAUUUAUCAGCGAUAAUUGAUCUGAUUAAUUUAGUUUUUAAUCAUAAUCAAUGGCAUGUAGCUUUAGCAGGAGUGGGGUUUGGGAAAUUAGCCAAUACCCAUGUUGCUUUUUGUUCGUAUGCUUUCCAUUUCUCCUCUCUUGCCAUCUUCUCUGUAUUUUUACCCUUGGUUCCGUGGUUCUCCGGCCGCCGUUAAGGUUUGCUGGAUUGUCCGCUUUGCUGAAAACUAUGUCCGAAGGCCAGUGCAAGAGAUCGCUAUUGGUCAGCUUGAACCACCAACGAUCUCUUCGUUGAUAUAUCCUCAGCAUUAGCAGACUGUUCUCCAAAGGAUUUUCAGCAUGGGGUGGAAUUUGUUGCAGAGCAUGUACUCCCGCUGCUCAUACCUCUUCUUAUUGACCAGCAAUUAAAUGUUCAGCAGUUUGCCAAAUACAUGCUCUUUGUCAAGGAUAUUCUGAGGACCAUGCUUUAUUUCUUCAAGUUGGCAACGAUUGCAGAGGUAAGCUCUCUGAUGAAGUCAUCUACUUUACACUUUAUUUCUUUUUACAUAUGGCUAAAUUUUUUUCAUGGAUUUAUGUAUUUCUUUCCUGUGAAUUCGAAUUCAAAUCGGAUUUAUAGAUUAGUAGAAACAAAUUUCAUGAAUUUUUUUAUUUGCGUGUGUGUUGGUUCUGUUCUUUAGCUACAAGCAAAUAAUCUGCAUAUAAUUAGUAUUUAGGAUCUAAUUUUUUUGGCUUUUCAAGAGUAGCAGCAAAAGGUACCUUUUCUUUUUUUCUAUUUUUGUAAUUUUCAAAUGUGAUUAAAUUAGUUGUCAAAUGAUUUCUUUUUUUUUUUUAACAAUUUUUUUUAACAAACGAUAUUAUAUACACUAAGGGGG